CCUGAGAAACCCGAAAGAUCGAAUGGGGAGAUUCAUCGUCAGCGUUUCCGGUGCGUGUACGGCUCGCGAUGUGUCCGUGCCGAAGACUUCGGUCUCUCGCGUGUGGCACACACGUCCGUAUGUUUUUUAAUGCUGGAAUCGUCGGCGUGCACUUCUCCCCUAGUAGGACGUCGCGACCCGUUGGGUGUCGGUCUACGGUACGGAGUGGCAGCCUGUCACGUGUGUGCGCUUCGCGGCGUUACUCGCGGGGCAGACCUCCGUAUACGCCCGACCGGCUGCCCGGCGGUACUCGCAAGGUAUCUGGCCGCAGAAACAUAUUACGAACUGCGUCCGGSCCGUCGCAAGCGCGACAAGUGUUUCCCGGCUGUUACGGAUUCAAUGCCGUCACCGGGCCUUGUCAGCUGUUGGUUGACGGUGUCCUGGGACUGGCUAACUUUUUCUUUGAUACCGGUCGGCGACGCUACUGCUUUGGGUACUUUCAGGACCCGUCUUGAAACACGGACCAAGGAGUCUAACCAUGUGCGCGAGUCAUUGGGAGUUAUGUUUAAAGCCUAAAGGCGCAAUGAAAGUGAAGAUCGGGCCUUGCGCGCCGUUCGAGG
rnacentral:rRNA from 1 species